UACGAAGGGGACUAGCGUUGUUCGGAAUCACUGGGCGUAAAGCGCACGUAGGCGGAUUCGUAAGUUAGGGGUGAGAUCCCGGGGCUCAACCUCGGAACUGCCUUUGAUACUGCGGGUCUAGAGUCCGGUAGAGGAGCACGGAAUUCCUGGUGUAGCGGUGAAAUGCGCAGAUAUCAGGAGGAACACCAGCGGCGAAGGCGGUGCUCUGGGCCGGAACUGACGCUGAGGAGCGAAAGCGUGGGGAGCGAACAGG
rnacentral:rRNA from 1 species